GACGAACGCUGGCGGCGUGCCUAAUACAUGCAAGUAGGACGCAGUUGCGAACGUGUGAGUAACGCGUAGGUAACUACCUAUUAGAGGGGGCUAACUAUUGGAAACGAUAGCUAAUACCGCAUACUAGUAGAUGGACCUUCGUUGUAUUAGCUAGUAGGUAGGGUAAUGGCCUACCUAGGAAACGAUACAUAGCCGAGCUGAGAGGGUGGUAGGGCACACUGGGACUGGGAAACGGCCCAGACUCCUACGGGAGGCAGCAGUAGGGAAUCUUCGGCAAUGGGGGGAACCCUGAACGAGCAACGCCGCGUGAGUGAAGAAGGGUUUCGGAUCGUAAAGCUCUGUUGUGAAGGAAGCGGUACUUAACCAGAAAGGGACGGCUAACUACGUGCCAGCAGCCGCGGUAAUUC
rnacentral:rRNA from 1 species